rnacentral:sRNA from 1 species
GCUGGGUGCAGUGAUGCAUACCUGUAAUCCCAGCUACUCAGGAGGCUGAGGUAGGAAGAUUGCAACUUCAAGGCUGGUCUGGAUAAUAUAGUGAGACUCUGUCUCAA